rnacentral:lncRNA from 10 species
ACUGGGUCGCAAUAGCAGUUUUCCGAAACAUGGCCGACUCUUUGACCUCAGCAAUUUUACUUCUAGGAAUACAUGUAUCCUCUAGAAAUACUGGCGAAGUUUGGAAAGAUAUAUUUUCCAAAUGUGUAUUACAACUUUGUACGUGAAAGAUUGAAAACAAACUCAUUCUUUCAACAAAUACGUGUGUGCCUGAUAAGUGCAAAGUAGCGUGUAAAGCUCUAUUAAC